rnacentral:rRNA from 1 species
CCUGCCCAAGAGAUCGGGAUAACACCUGGAAACAGAUGCUAAUACCGGAUAACAACAGAUGAUGCCUAUCAACUGUUUAAAAGAUGGUUCUGCUAUCACUCUUGGAUGGACCUACGGUGCAUUAGCUAGUUGGUAGGGUAACGGCCUACCAAGGCGAUGAUGCAUAGCCGAGUUGAGAGACUGAUCGGCCACAUUGGGACUGAGACACGGCCCAAACUCCUACGGGAGGCAGCAGAG